UCAGGGUUGGCUGAAGAGAUAGGCGAGGGGUUUUUAAUCUCUUUAUAAGUUAG
rnacentral:tRNA from 1 species